GCGCACCAGGCGAGAAACUUUACAAUGUGCGAAAGCACGAUAAGGGAACUCUGAGUGCCUCCUAAGGAGGCUGUUCAGGUGUCUAAAAGCACCUGAAGGAGGGGCUGGGUAAGACCGGUGCCAGCCGCCGCGGCAACACCGGCAGCCCAAGUGGUAGCCACGUUUAUUGGGUCUAAAGCGUCCGUAGCCGGCUGGGUAAGUUCCUUGGGAAAUUUGGCUGCUUAACAGUCAAGCUUUCAGGGAAUACUGCCCGGCUUGGGACCGGGAGAGGUCAGAGGUACUCCAGGGGUAGGGGUGAAAUCCAUUAAUCCUUGGGGGACCACCGGUAGCGAAGGCGUCUGACCAGACCGGGUCCGACGGUGAGGGACGAAGGCUAGGGGCGCGAACCGGAUUAGAUACCCCUGUAGU
rnacentral:rRNA from 1 species